rnacentral:rRNA from 1 species
AACGAACGCUGGCGGCAUGCCUAACACAUGCAAGUCGAACGAGACCUUCGGGUCUAGUGGCGCACGGGUGCGUAACGCGUGGGAACCUGCCCUUAGGUUCGGAAUAACUCCCCGAAAGGGGUGCUAAUACCGGAUAAUGUCUUCGGACCAAAGAUUUAUCGCCUUUGGAUGGGCCCGCGUUGGAUUAGCUAGUUGGUAGGGUAAAAGCCUACCAAGGCGACGAUCCAUAGCUGGUCUGAGAGGAUGAUCAGCCACACUGGGACUGAGACACGGCCCAGACUCCUACGGGAGGCAGCAGUGGGGAAUAGUGGACAAUGGGCGAAAGCCUGAUCCAGCAAUGCCGCGUGAGUGAUGAAGGCCUUAGGGUUAAAGCUCUUUUACCCGGGAUGAUAAUGACAGUACCGGGAGAAUAAGCUCCGGCUAACUCCGUG